GACGAACGCUGGCGGCGUGCUUAACACAUGCAAGUCGUACGGUAAGGCCCUUUCGGGGGUACACGAGUGGCGAACGGGUGAGUAACACGUGAGUAACCUGCCCACAACUUUGGGAUAACGCUAGGAAACUGGUGCUAAUACUGGAUAUGUGCUCCUGCUGCAUGGUGGGGGUUGGAAAGCUCCGGCGGUUGUGGAUGGACUCGCGGCCUAUCAGCUUGUUGGUGGGGUAGUGGCCUACCAAGGCGGCGACGGGUAGCCGGCCUGAGAGGGUGACCGGCCACAGUGGGACUGAGAUACGGCCCAGACGCCUACGGGAGGCAGCAGUGGGGAAUAUUGCACAAUGGGCGCAAGCCUGAUGCAGCAACGCCGCGUGCGGGAUGACGGCCUUCGGGUUGUAAACCGCUUUCAGCAGGGACGAAGCUUUUUGUGACGGUACCUGCAGAAGAAGCACCGGCUAACUACGUG
rnacentral:rRNA from 1 species